UCUCCGUUGGUGAACCAGCGGAGGGAUCAUUACCGAGUUUUUCUGCUCCCAAACCCCUGUGAACUUAUACCUUUACUGUUGCUUCGGCGGGUUAACGCCCCGGAAGGCCCAAAAAGCCGCCGGAACCAGGCGCCCGCCGGGGGACCCAAACUCUUGUAUUUCUUACUUUGCAUGUCUGAGUGGAAUCAUAAACAAAUGAAUCAAAACUUUCAACAACGGAUCUCUUGGUUCUG
rnacentral:misc_RNA from 1 species